rnacentral:lncRNA from 1 species
GUGUUGCCCGGGCCGCAGAGAAGGAGGCGGAGUCUGGCUCCGGUGCUGGAGAUUUCGGCUCUUAGACUUGGGGUCUUAAAGAGACCUGCACUUGGGAUUUUUUUUUUUUAGGAGAGGGCUGCGCUCCGAGGGAAGGGUCUGUGAGUCCCGGGAGAAACCCUCUCCGAGGGACAGGGAAGGAAAUGAGCCGCCGGCCUGGGGUAGCGGAAACCCUUCCUAACUUCAAGUUGUGGACGAAAGUUUUCGGUCUGCUGCUGCAGGAGUCCCAGCUGCCCCGAGGAAAGGGAGCCGACUCUCGAACGCUAAACCCCCUGGAGUCGUAGGAUAUCGGCGAUUUGCCCCGUUGAUUUACCUCAAUUGCCUCAGCUGAGCUAACAGGAAUAUGUUUUAGGGUCAGAUUCACAGCAAAGUAUCUGAAUAUCUUUGCAAAGCAUCAUUGAACUGGAAAAUACAUGGGACCAGUGACCAUACUCAGAGAAGAGAGGACGAACGAAAAAAAGACAAGGAAAAAAGAAAGAGGAGAGGGAAGUGCAAAGCUCUCGGAAACUGAGAAACGAAGGAAUGACGUCAGCAAGAUGGCAGACUAGGAGUUUCCAGCCCUCAACUCUGCACGGAAACAGUCAAAAGCAAACAAAUUACAGUCUGGCACCCCUAAAGACGGGUGCUCCUCAAAUCAGAUGCUUGCAGUUUGUUGGGCCGCGUGCCAUGGCUUCCGUGAUAAUGGUGAUCUGAAAUGAACCAGGGCGAUUUUUACUUAGCCAGACAAAAAGGAAUCGGAAUGAAAACAGGUAAUUGUAUGAAAAGUAAUCAAAGCGGCCAUAUUGUGUCACUGAAUAGAGUUGGAAAGAGCGAAUCGUAAAUUGUAACUCUACCAUUUCCCUAGGACAGUAAGUGUUGGCUGAGCUUAUCCUUGAGAGAUACAAGGAGAACCCCUUGAUCCUCA